rnacentral:rRNA from 1 species
CUGCUUCUACUUUCUGUAUGGAGCUGGGAGCGUCUGCCUGUUGGACGCCCGAAGAGCGUCAGGUUUGAUCCUUGGUAUGUAGAUGAACAUGACGAAUUACGGCGCCCCACAUGGGCUUACAAGUGGGAUAUCGUUUCCGAGAUGACGAACGAUGUCAAUCUCAUGUACCAAAAGUACAUUGCCGAGUUGGCUUGCAUCACAUCCACAAUACUUACAAUGACUGCAGCAUCACAACAAUUUGAACAAACAUAA